CUCAGGAGGCUGAGAUAGGAGAAUCACUUGAACCUGGGAGGUGGAGGUUGCAGAGAGCCGAAAUGGCACCACUGCACUCCAGCCUGGGAGACAGAACGAGACUCCGAACCCCCAAAAAAUAAAUAAAAAUAAAAAUAAACAACCUAAUCCCUGAUACAUUCCAACAGAAGCUAGUAUAUUAUGAAAUCUCCUUCCAUUCAAAAUGAUAAUCAAUAACAACUUAGUGAGGCCUUUUUAGGGAUACAGAGAGUGAACUAGGAUUAGGGUGACUGUCUGGGUCUAGACAGAAACAAAGGAGUUCUUGAGACAUAGAACUUUCAGUUUUAAAGCCAGGAUGAGUUGGCUACUCCUUAUUAAGUAGUGGAGAAUACAUCUGAAUACUUGAUAGCACACAACGAAAGACUAAAGUUUUUUCUAGCCACCUUCCAAACAAACAAACAAAAAAUCCACAAAUUCAUUUCUAUUUUUACCUCGUGCAAGCACUAAUGAGCAAAACAGAAACCAACAAAGGAGGCAUACAACACUUUUAAUGAGAAUUCAUCAGAAUAGAAUUAAUUAAAUUAAAUUUUAAAAAAGAAGCCACUUUAAGGCAUUAUUUGCCUUGUGAAAAUAAAUUUUUAAAAAUGAGUUUACUUUUCCUAUUGACAAGCUUCCAGCUUUUAAACUAUUUUUAAAAGUGACAAAUUGAGCAGAAGUAAUGGCAAGGUGUUCCACCCUUUGACUUCUGUCAACCAAUCUUAUGUCUUUUAGCAGGAAAAAAGUAAGUCCAUCCCUUAAGGGUAGUACGCCAGGACCAAGGAAAUAAGUGAGACAACUUUUAAAGAGCAACAGCAAAUAUUACCUUCCUUCCACUACCUCAAAACUAGUCACAGUUCAAUAUAAGUUACCUAUAUAUGGCAACCUGUAAAUCAGAGGAAUGUGCUUAUCAUACCUAAUCAAACAAUUUCAAGCCUAAAUACUCCAGCUGUACAGCAGUCCUCUGAAGCCAUAGCAAUAAGAUGACUCACCAACUGGCAGGUGUCUUAGGUUCUACAAAUAAUGGGUGUCUGCCCAGGUGAAAACAAAUGUAUGUGCCCCAACAGACGAACUCAUCUUGCUUG
rnacentral:lncRNA from 1 species